ACUCCUACGGGAGGCAGCAGUGGGGAAUAUUGGACAAUGGGGACCGGUAGCAUCCAGCCAUGCCGCGCUGUGUGAAGAAGGCCUUUUGGUUGUAAAGCACUUUAAGCGAGGAGGAGGCUUACCUGGUUAAUACCCGGGAUAAGUGGACGUUACUCGCAGAAUAAGCACCGGCUAACUCUGUGCCAGCAGCCGCGGUAAUACAGAGGGUGCAAGCGUUAAUCGGAUUUACUGGGCGUAAAGCGCGCGUAGGUGGCUAAUUAAGUCAAAUGUGAAU
rnacentral:rRNA from 1 species